rnacentral:snRNA from 1 species
AUACUUACUGGGCAGGGGAGAUGCCGCGAUCACAAAGGCGGUUUUCCCAGGGCGAGGCUUAUCCAUCGCACUCCGGAUGUGCCGACCCCUGUGAUUUCCCCAAAUGUGGGAAACUCAACUGCAUGAUUUGUGGCAGCGGGGACUGCGUUCGCACUUGCCCGAA